UACGUAGGGACCAAGCGUUGUCCGGAAUCAUUGGGCGUAAAGCGCGUGUAGGCGGCUCGAUAAGUCUGCUGUGAAAGUCCAGGGCUCAACCCUGGGAUGCCGGUGGAUACUGUCGAGCUCGAGUCCGGGAGAGGCGAGUGGAAUUCCUGGUGUAGCGGUGAAAUGCGCAGAUAUCAGGAGGAACACCAAUGGCGAAGGCAGCUCGCUGGGACGGUACUGACGCUGAGACGCGAAGCGU
rnacentral:rRNA from 1 species